ACACAAUGCAACACUGCUGAUCUAUUGGAGCUCUUCGCCAUGUGUUUAUUGAAAACAGAAAAGUAUAAUCUUGCUGAACUUAAAGUUAAACAGGCCAUACAAGUAGCAAGCUCUAAAGAACAAAGUACCAGGUUAAAACUAUUGAAAUGUCAUUUAGAAGAUAAGAUUCAACAGUUGAGUGAGUUUAAAACUGAGAAAUGUAAAUUUAGUAUCAGCACUUCAGAAAUAUUUGUACA